AAAUAGCGUAGAACCUUUUGAAUAUGGAUACAUUUAUUUAGCAUAAUACUUCUGAGAUUUAUCCAUGUCAGUGUUUGUAUCAGUAAUGUGUUCCAGUUUAUUGCUGAGUAGUAUGCUAUUGUAUGGAUGUACCACAGUUUUUCCAUUCACAGGGCCAAGUCAUUGCAACAAACAUGGCCCCAACCCAGAGAUAUUCAGUCAAGAAGAAAAUUAAAAUAUCUAGCAAAAACCACAUUUAUCCAGUGCUUACUUUGUCCCAGACAUUGGUAAACAACUGUUUCACACACAUUGUCUUAUUUUAUCCUAUCUCAAGUUUAUGAGAUGUGUAAUUCUCAGUCUACCUGACAUGUCCUUGAAGAAGUCCCAAGAAAAUAAAAUUAUUGUAAUUUAAAUAAGCCCCACCAUAAAGAACCUUUCCUUCAAUAGCUCUCCCAAACUCUUGCUAUCCUUCUGGUAGCCUGAAAGACUUAAACACAUAUAACAAAACACUUAACUUUCCAUCUCAGGGGAAUACCUACAUAAUGGAGAAUCUAUUUGAACAGGCCAAC